AGCGAACGCUGGCGGCGGGCUUAACACAUGCAAGUCGAGCGGGCAUCCUUGUGGUGUCAGCGGCAGACGGGUGAGUAACGCGUGGGAACGUGCCCUUCGGUUCGGAAUAACUCAGGGAAACUUGAGCUAAUACCGGAUACGUGCGAGAGCAGAAAGGUUUAUCUGCCGAAGGAUCGGCCCGCGUCUGAUUAGCUAGUUGGUGAGGUUAUGGCUCACCAAGGCGACGAUCAGUAGCUGGUCUGAGAGGAUGAUCAGCCACACUGGGACUGAGACACGGCCCAGACUCCUACGGGAGGCAGCAGUGGGGAAUAUUGGACAAUGGGGGCAACCCUGAUCCAGCCAUGCCGCGUGAGUGAUGACGGCCUUAGGGUUGUAAAGCUCUUUUCUCCGGGACGAUAAUGACGGUACCGGAGGAAUAAGCCCCGGCUAACUUCGUG
rnacentral:rRNA from 1 species